GCGGGUGUAGCUCAGUCGGUAGAGCGUCAGCUUCCCAAGCUGAAAGUCACGAGUUCGAGUCUCGUUACCCGCUCCA
rnacentral:tRNA from 1 species